UGAGCGUCGUAUAAGGGGUGAAGUCAGAGCGUAAGCGCUGGUGGACUUUAUACGAGUGAGAAUGCCGGAAUGAGUAGCGAGAAAUAUGUGAGAAUCAUAUUGGCCGAAAAUCUAAGGUUUUUGGAGGAAGGUUCGUCCGCUCCAAGUAAGCCGGGAGCUAAGGUGAGGCCGAAAGGCGUAGCCGAUGCACAUACGGUAGAUAUUCCGUAGCCGCCAAAAGAUUUAAGUAAGAGGACACCUUGAAAGGACUUGACCCGGGCGAUGGUUGCCCCGGGCGAAAGGGACCGAAAUUUAGUAGGGAAGCAAGUUUGGACGAGGGCGAGAAAAGUCUUAUGUAUAUCUUCGGCGCCCGUACCGCAAACCGACACAGGUAGAUAGGAAGAGAAUUCUAAGGCCAACGGGAGAAGGGUAGUUAAGGAACUCGGCAAAUUGACCCCGUAACUUAGGAAUACGGGGUGCCACAGCGAUGUGGUCGCAGAGAAUAGGCCCAGGCAACUGUUUAUCAAAAACACAGGUCUCUGCCAAAUCGAAAGAUGAAGUAUAGGGGCUGACACCUGCCCGGUGCUGGAAGGUUAAGAGGAGAUGUGCAAGCAUUGAAUUGAAGCCCCAGUAAACGGCGGCCGUAACAAUAACGGUCCUAAGGUAGCGAAAUUCCUUGUCGGGUAAGUUCCGACCCGCACGAAUGGUGUAAUGAUCUGGGCACUGUCUCAAUUACCCGCCCGGCGAAAUUGUAGUACCGGUGAAGAUGCCGGUUACCCGCGACAAGACGGAAAGACCCCAUGGAGCUUUACUGUAGCUUAAUAUUGGGUUUCGAUAAUUUAUGUAUAGGAUAGGCGGGAGACUAGGAAACCGUGGCGCCAGCCACGGCGGAGUCGACGUUGGAAUACCGCUCUUAAGUUAUUGGAAUUCUAACCUGCGGCCAUGAAUCUGGCCGGGGGACAUUGUUAGGUGGGCAGUUUGACUGGGGCGGUCGCCUCCAAAAAGGUAACGGAGGCGCUCAAAGGUUGGCUCAGCAUGGUUGGAAACCAUGCCUUAGAGUGUAAACGUGUAAGCCAGCCUAACUGCGAGGAUGACGGUCCGAGCAGUAACGAAAGUUGGAGUUAGUGAUCCGGCGGUAUGAGAGUGGAAUUGCCGUCGCUCAACGGAUAAAAGCUACCCUGGGGAUAACAGGCUGAUCUCCCCCAAGAGUCCACAUCGACGGGGAGGUUUGGCGCCUCGAUGUCGGCUCAUCACAUCCUGGGGCUGUAUUCGGUCCCAAGGGUUCGGCUGUUCGCCGAUUAAAGUGGUACGCGAGCUGGGUUCAGAACGUCGUGAGACAGUUCGGUCCCUAUCUGUCGUGGGCGCAGGAUAUUUGAGGAGAGCUGACCUUAGUACGAGAGGACCGGGAUGGACGCACCUCUGGCGCACCAGUUGUCACGCCAGUGGCACAGCUGGGCAACUAUGUGCGGAACGGAUAAACGCUGAAAGCAUCUAAGCGUGAAGCCGACUCCAAGAAUAGAUAUCCCAUAGCGUAAGCUAGUAAGACCCCUUGUAGACUACAAGGUUGAUAGGCUGCAUGUGUAAGCACGGUAACGUGUUCAGCUUGGCAGUACUAAUAGGUCGAGGGCUUGACC
rnacentral:rRNA from 1 species